AUUGAACGCUGGCGGCAGGCCUAACACAUGCAAGUCGAGCGAGAGGCGGGCGGGUGAGUAAAGUAUGGGGACAGCCCGCUAGAGGGGGGUAACAACUGGGAACGGUAGCUAAUACAGCAUACUAUCGGAUAACCCAUAUGGGAUUAGCUAGUAGGUGAGGGAAUGGCUCACCUAGGCGACGCUCCCUAGCUGGUCUGAGAGGAUGAGCAGCCACACUGGAACUGAGACACGGCCCAGACUCCUACGGAGGCAGCAGUGGGGAAUAUUGCACAAUGGGCGCAAGCCUGAUGCAGCCAUGCCGCGUGUAUGAAGAAGGCCCUAGGGUUGUAAAGUACUUUCAGUCGGGAGGCGUUACCGACAGAAGAAGCACCGGCUAACUCCGUGCCAGCAGCCGCGGUAAUUC
rnacentral:rRNA from 1 species